rnacentral:rRNA from 1 species
UACGGAGGGUGCAAGCGUUAUCCGGAUUCACUGGGUUUAAAGGGUGCGUAGGUGGGCAUGUAAGUCAGUGGUGAAAUCUCCGGGCUUAACCCGGAAACUGCCAUUGAUACUAUAGGUCUUGAAUACCGUGGAGGUAAGCGGAAUAUGGUCAUGUAGCGGUGAAAUGCUUAGAGUAUGACAUAGAACACCAAUUGCGAAGGCAGCUUACUACCCGAAAUAUUGACACUGAGGCACGAAACGCGUGGGGAU